CUUAGAGCUGAAUCGUUCGCGACUGACCCAUCACUACUUUUAUAACUGAGGAUUUAUUGACAAUUGCUAGAGGCUGCUUAGAAACCAUUUGCCCUUUACAUUAUGAUUCCAAAGGUUAUCAGUAUUGCACAAUGCCAAGAGAACUAAACCUAACAGGAGAAAACACCUAACAGCUCUUUGAGAUCUCCACCAAGAAGAAAAACUGAUUUCACUUGAGGUGAAUCAAUAUCUGAUAAGGAUGUCUUCUGUUGCUGCUUGGGGCAACAACCCAACAAAUGGCUUUAAUGCCUUUACAAACCAAGGAUUUCCAGCAGAGCAAAAUGAAACUCCCUGGGUUCCUACUGCCAGUGCCCCUACUGCCGGGGCACCUACUGGUGGGAUCACAGUAGUGGUUGACACGACACGUUGGAGAGGUCAGAAACUGCCGCUAAAAACAAUCGGGGUCAUUCAAAUUAUAUUUGGACUGGUUUUUCUUGCGUUUGGAAUUGGCUUUUUAGUCUUCGCCCCGGCUGCUCUCUAUAUUGGAUUUCUUAUCUUCAACUGUCUGUCUCACUUCAUCGCCGGCUGUCUAAGUAUUGCAUCACCACUAAACAAUCCCAAUUCCUCUUUGGUGAAAAACUCUAAUCGGUGCAGCGAAUGGGAUUUCGACUGCAGUAAAGUUAAGCAACGGAUUACGGUGAUCACAGGAUUCCUGACGGUGUUCACGUUCUUUGCCUGCUUCAGCUCCAUGGUGUUCUUAGGGAACAGAAGUAAAGGCUGCUGCUCUGAACAAAUGGAAUCUGUUGUCAGUAUGCCUCCAACCCAAUUAGCCGACUCUUCAAUGCCCACUGCAUUCCAAGAUCCCGCCGGUCAUCAGAACUUGAGUUACAGCGAAUUUGGAGCAACAGCGAUGCAUGUGCGCAACACAUGUUCAGACGAUCCUCCAUCAUACGAGGAAUGUGUCAAAACAGACUGGCAAUGAAAAAGUUCUGAGAGGUCCUGAGAUGCCAUGGACCAAUGGGAAUGACUAAAGGACACUGAGCAGUGCUUCAUUAGUAUAUUGUAUUUUGUAUGAUGAGCAAAUGAUACAUAUUUGGAUAGAACACAUUGAGGGUUCAGGUCUAUAACAGAAAUCACAUCAAGAUAGCAUCACACUUCAGGUAAAUUAACAUUGCUGCUAAUGUAUUAAUACAGCAGAAAUUUGUAACUAACGUGUGCCAAACCAUUAUUUACAUGGAAAAUUGCAAAACAAAACAUUUAAAACGUCUUAUUGAGGAAAUUCUGAAAAUAAUGAGACAGAGACAGCUUCUCAUGUCACUGUUGAUUAGAGCUAGGCAUCACAGGGCAUGCAUCUUACCCCGUCUUAAGCGUCUUAAAGGAGUUCCUGGAGGUGCUGAACAAUAGUUGCUGCUUUUAUUUCACACUCUGAAGC
rnacentral:lncRNA from 1 species